UACGUAGGGUGCAAGCGUUAAUCGGAAUUACUGGGCGUACAGCGUGCGCAGGCGGUUUUGUAAGUUUGUCGUGAAAUCCCCGGGCUCAACCUGGGAAUGGCGAUGAAGACUGCAAGGCUAGAAUCUGGCAGAGGGGGGUAGAAUUCCACGUGUAGCAGUGAAAUGCGUAGAGAUGCGGAGGAACACCGAUGGCGAAGGCAGCCCCCUGGGCCAACACUGACGCUCAGGCACGAAAGCGUGGGGAGCAAACAGG
rnacentral:rRNA from 1 species